rnacentral:rRNA from 1 species
UCCUGAAGGAACGUUAAAGACGAUGACGUUGAUAGGUCGGGUGUGUAAGCGUAGCGAUACGUUGAGCUAACCGAUACUAAUGAACCGUGAGGCUUAACCUU